GGAAUAAUAACCGGUGUUAUUACGUCUCCACGCUUCAAACAAAUUUCUCCGGAGCGAUACAAGAAUGUUCAGACCGUGAUUCAAGGCUGCUGGAAAUCAAUUCAAGGGAUGAAGCGAGCUUUGUAUUCAACAAUCUUGUGUACAAGAACCUUGAGUACUGGAUUGGAAAAUGCGAAGACGGGAAUGUGAGCUCCGGUCUCCUGUACAAGGGGACAACUGGAACGCCCCCUUGCAGACUGUGUGAUCCGACUGCAGUCAGACCGAUUUACCCUUGCGAUCUUGAUCAGCCUUUCAUCUGCGAGAAAUCGGUACAUUUGUGCCCGCAAAUUCCUGAAAAGAUCCAGGGUCUCUGUCAACAGCCAGUGGAGGCGACGUGAAUAAAAUGACUGUCCCCAGUCUCCCCUUCACUCUCACUCCCCGGUCCUUCCAGAUUCCCUGCCCACCCUCUCUGCCCUUCCGUGCUCCACCAAUUCCUCCUCUUAUCGCAACCAUAUUGUCUCCACCAGACACUAACAAGCCUCUCUUGCUGUCUGUCCCCUUCUUUCCCUCCAUUCCCCGGUCCCGCUUUUCCUGCUCCCUCUACCUCCCUCUUUCACCUCUCUCCACGUCCAUCCGCUUCUUUCACUCCAUUCCCACGCCCCGCUCUUUCUGCUUCCUCUACCUAUCUUAUUAUUACCUCAUACUUCC